CGAGUACAGAAGUUUAGGGGGAAAACAAUAAUAAUAUAAAAAUUCAUUUCUAAAGUACUUUCUUUUUCUGGCAGACAUUUAUUUCCUGUGCUUCAGUGAUAAAUAGAGAAUAUCCAAAAGAUCUGUCUGGUCCUCAGAAAAUCAAAAGAAAACAACACACACAGUUACCAGUAGUUUGAAUUUCCAAUAAAAUUUCAGUCAAAGCAAAAAAGAAAGAACAACAAAAUCAGAAAAACAAAAAAAAG
rnacentral:misc_RNA from 1 species